GUGAGGAAUAUUGGUCAAUGGGCGAGAGUCUGAACCAGCCAAGUAGCGUGAAGGAAGAAGGAUCUAUGGUUCGUAAACUUCUUUUGCAGGGGAAUAAAGUGCGGGACGUGUCCUGUUUUGUAUGUACCCUGAGAAUAAGGAUCGGCUAACUCCGUGCCAGCAGCCGCGGUAAUACGGAGGAUCCGAGCGUUAUCCGGAUUUAUUGGGUUUAAAGGGUGCGUAGGUGGUUUGAUAAGUCAGCGGUGAAAGUUUGCAGCUUAACUGUAAAAAUGCCGUUGAAACUGUCGGACUUGAGUGUAAAUGAGGUAGGCGGAAUGCGUGGUGUAGCGGUGAAAUGCAUAGAUAUCACGCAGAACUCCGAUUGCGAAGGCAGCUUACUAAGCUACAACUGACACUGAAGCACGAAAGCGUGGGGAUCAAACAGGAUUAGAUACCCUGGUAGUCC
rnacentral:rRNA from 1 species